ACAAGUAAGGAUGUAGGCAUAAGUAGCGCGAAGACGGGUGAGAAUCCCGUCCACCGGAAGUCUAAGGUUUCCGCCGUACAGUUCGUCUGCGGCGGGUUAGUCGGUCCUAAGGCGAGGCUGAGGAGCGUAGUCGAUGGCCAUGGCGUUUAUAUUCGUCAACCGGACAUAAAGGUUAAACUAGCAGGGACGCUUGAAUGAGAGGUACCUAGGUUGUUGGUCUGCCGAGCGGAUUCCUUCGGGAUGAGGCGUAGUACUUUGAUUUUGGGUCGAGAAAAGCUGACUAGGUACAAUAUGUUCGACCGUACCGCAAACCGACACAGGUAGACAGGUAGAGGAUACUAAGGUGUUCGAGAUAACUCUCGCGAAGGAACUAGGCAAUCUAGCCCCGUAACUUCGGGAUAAGGGGUGCCACAGCAAUGUGGCCGCAGUGAAAUGGCUUGAGCGACUGUUUACCAAAAACACAGGUCUGUGCUAAAGCGAAAGCUGACGUAUACGGGCUGACACCUGCCCAAUGCCAGAAUGUUAACAGGAGAUGUCAGGGUAACCGAAGCAUUGAAUCGAAGCACUGGUGAAUGGCGGCCGUAACUAUAACGGUCCUAAGGUAGCGAAAUUCCUUGUCGGGUAAGUUCCGACCCGCACGAAUGGUGUAACGACUUGAGCGCUGUCUCCGCGAGAGACUCGGUGAAAUUGUAGCAUGCGUGAAGAUGCGCAUUACCCGCCGUAGGACGGAAAGACCCCAUGGAGCUUUACUACACCUUGACGUUGCUAGCCGGCUUGUUUUGUAGAGCGUAGGUGGGAGCCCUUCGGGGCGCCAAUGGAACACCACCCUGAGCAAGUUGGUUAGCUAACCUGAACCGUGAUCCGGUUCGGAAACCGCGUCAGGCGGGUAGUUUGACUGGGGCGGUCGCCUCCCAAAAUGUAACGGAGGCGUCCAAAGUUACCCUCAGCCCGGUUGGAAACCGGGUGUCGAGUACAAAGGUAUAAGGGUGAUUUACUGCGAGAGAAACAGCUCGAGCAGUUGCGAAAGCAGGGCUUAGUGACCCUUUGGCAGCGUAUGGGUGCGCCAAAGAUCAUCGGAUAUAAGCUACCCUGGGGAUAACAGGCUUAUCUUGCCCAAGCGCUCACAGCGACGGCAAGGUUUGGCACCUCGAUGUCGGCUCGUCGCAUCCUGGGGCUGGAUUCGGUCCCAAGGGUUAGGCUGUUCGCCUAUUAAAGCGGUACGCGAGCUGGGUUCAGAACGUCGUGAGACAGUUCGGUCCCUAUCCGCGGUGGGCGUAGGAAGUUUGCGGGGAGCUGUCCCUAGUACGAGAGGACCGGGAUGGACGAACCUCUGGUGUGCCGGUUGUUCCGCCAGGAGCAGGCGCCGGGUAGCUAUGUUCGGUCGUGAUAAGCGCUGAAAGCAUCUAAGCGCGAAGUACACCCCAAGAUAAGACUUCCCAUAGCAUAGGCUAGUAAGGUCUGGAGUAGACCACUCCGUUAUAGGUUGCAUGUGUACGCACAGUAAUGUGUUCAGCAAAGCAAUUCUAAUCGACCGAGGGCUUAAUUUAACUUAUCUC
rnacentral:rRNA from 1 species